CACGUAGGGCGCGAGCGUUGUCCGGAAUUAUUGGGCGUAAAGAGCUCGUAGGCGGCCUGUUGCGUCCGCUGUGAAAGCCCGGGGCUUAACCCCGGGUCGGCAGUGGAUACGGGCAGGCUAGAGGUAGGUAGGGGAGAAUGGAAUUCCCGGUGUAGCGGUGAAAUGCGCAGAUAUCGGGAGGAACACCGGUGGCGAAGGCGGUUCUCUGGGCCUUACCUGACGCUGAGGCGCGACAGCGUGGGGAGCAAACAGG
rnacentral:rRNA from 1 species